AUACGGAGGGUCCAAGCGUUAUCCGGAAUCAUUGGGUUUAAAGGGUGCGCAGGCGGUUUAUUAAGUCAGUGGUGAAAUCUCGGGGCUCAACUCCGAAACUGCCAUUGAUACUGAUAAACUUGAGUUCAGUUGGAGUAGGCGGAAUGUGUAGUGUAGCGGUGAAAUGCUUAGAUAUUACACAGAACACCGAUAGCGAAGGCAGCUUACUAAACUGAUACUGACGCUGAGGCACGAAAGCGUGGGUAGCAAACGGGAUUAGAAACCCCAGUAGUCC
rnacentral:rRNA from 1 species